CAGUGGUUAAGCACCCCUGAGUUCAAUCCCUGAUGAAGGAAAGAAAGAAAGAAAGCUCCCAGAUGGCUGAGCACGUGGAAGCAGCCCCUGCCCACACUCACUCUGCAGCUCUUUAUCUGCAUCCUGUGUGAAAAAAACAGAAGAUGCCAGUGACAGCAGGACUUCCCGAGUCCUUGAAGCACGCCGUAAAAUCAACAACCCCAACCAGAGGUCGUGAGGACAGACUUACAGCUGGGGGGUCAGAGCACAGGUUCUGCUCAGACUAGACACCAACCUCGCCAGCCUUGGGGACAGUGGGACACGGCUGAUGCUAUGGAACAUUACAGAACAGGGAAGAACCAGUUCCAGCCACAGAGGAGCCACCUGGGCCACAGUUCACCUGGACUCAUGACCACCCUGUUGUAGAUGCCCUAGGGAAACCCCCACCUGCCAGUACCAUCUGGCCUGACCCAUUCCAGCCCUGGCCACAACCAGCUCACACAAGACGUGAAGGAAGGUGGUCCUAUCUUCAGGAGGGACCCAGUACUUCCUGGGAAGAUCCCCGGUACUCCUCCUACUCACUCACCAGAGCCCAGUUCUCCCCACCCCCCAGGAGGACCCCUACCCACUGUUCCCAUGGCAAGCUGACCCGCCGUCAUUUCUCCCAGCUUUUCCUCAUUCUGGGGCCAAGAACAAACCCCCUCACUGUUCAGUCAACUCUUGGUUUAUAACUGGAAUCCACAAACCCAGUUUGGGGGUCAGAGAUUGCUAAUGGGGGAAGAGGUGAGGGAAGUCAAGCCACCACCAACAGCCCCUCCAGGUGUGCUGAGACCCUGGAAGCCUCACCUCAGAGGCGGAGCAACAGCUCACAACAGCCCUCCUGUCCCCAACCUCCGCCUUCCUGUUACCCCUCACCUACAGCCAUGAGGGUGGCAGGUACACACCUUACGUCUUCCUUCCCAAGUCUCCAUCAGAGCACGCUUGGCCCAGGCCCGGCAGACCACCCGCUGCCACUCAGGCCCUGGGGACGUCGUGGGACCUUUUUGCCAGGCCUGGCCUUCUCUGACCAAUGGCAGCAGCAGCUGAAUAAACACUUUAGUCCA